rnacentral:lncRNA from 1 species
UAUAUACAACUUUUAUUUACCUAUAUAUAUCUUGUCGCAUAUACUAUUAAUUAAUUUUACAGAUCAUGUUAUUUAAUUUCUUCACUCACAAAUUUGUCUCCUCUUCAUCCAAUCCAUCGACCUGAUCAUCCUUUGGUAGUAAACCUUAAUAUAUCAAAUGCUUUUAACUUGUAGUCCAACAGUUUGUAAUAAUUUUAAGAACUGGGUUUAAAAAAAGGAAAAAAAAUGAAAUAUUGAUUUUCUUUCUGUACUUGGAAACUGAUGUGUGCAUGCUCUUAAUUUAAAGAAAUUGUACGGAUUUCCCUUUCAACAUGAAAAAACAAAAACAAAAACAAAAAAGAUAAGUCCAUCAACUUGCAAAUAAAAAUUCC